rnacentral:rRNA from 1 species
GGAGAAAAGCAGGGGAUCGCAAGACCUUGCGCGAAUGGAGCGGCCGAUGGCAGAUUAGGUAGUUGGUGAGGUAAAGGCUCACCAAGCCUUCGAUCUGUAGCUGGUCUGAGAGGACGACCAGCCACACUGGGACUGAGACACGGCCCAGACUCCUACGGGAGGCAGCAGUGGGGAAUUUUGGACAAUGGGCGAAAGCCUGAUCCAGCCAUGCCGCGUGCAGGAUGAAGGCCUUCGGGUUGUAAACUGCUUUUGUACGGAACGAAAAGUCUCUUUCUAAUAAAGAGGGAUCAUGACGGUACCGUAAGAAUAAGCACCGGCUAACUACGUGCCAGCAGCCGCGGUAAUACGUAGGGUGCAAGCGUUAAUCGGAAUUACUGGGCGUAAAGCGUGCGCAGGCGGUUAUAUAAGACAGUUGUGAAAUCCCCGGGCUCAACCUGGGAACUGCAUCUGUGACUGUAUAGCUAGAGUACGGUAGAGGGGGAUGGAAUUCCGCGUGUAGCAGUGAAAUGCGUAGAUAUGCGGAGGAACACCGAUGGCGAAGGCAAUCCCCUGGACCUGUACUGACGCUCAUGCACGAAAGCGUGGGGAGCAAACGGGAUUAGAUACCCUGGUAGUCCACGCCCUAAACGAUGUCAACUGGUUGUUGGGUCUUCACUGAUUCAGUAACGAAGCUAACGCGUGAAGUUGACCGCCUGGGGAGUACGGUCGCAAGAUUAAAACUCAAAGGAAUUGACGGGGACCCGCACAAGCGGUGGAUGAUGUGGAUUAAUUCGAUGCAACGCGAAAAACCUUACCUACCCUUGACAUGGACGGAAGCCACGAGAGAUCGAGGUGUGCUCGAAAGAGAACCGUCACACAGGUGCUGCAUGGCUGUCGUCAGCUCGUGUCGUGAGAUGUUGGGUUAAGUCCCGCAACGAGCGCAACCCUUGUCAUUAGUUGCUACGAAAGAGCACUCUAAUGAGACUGCCGGUGACAAACCGGAGGAAGGUGGGGAUGACGUCAAGUCCUCAUGGCCCUUAUGGGUAGGGCUUCACACGUCAUACAAUGGUACAUACAGAGGGCCGCCAACCCGCGAGGGGGAGCUAAUCCCAGAAAGUGUAUCGUAGUCCGGAUCGGAGUC